UACGAAGGGGGCUAGCGUUGCUCGGAAUCACUGGGCGUAAAGGGCGCGUAGGCGGACUUUUAAGUCAGGGGUGAAAUCCUGAGGCUCAACCUCAGAACUGCCUUUGAUACUGAGGGUCUCGAGACCGGUAGAGGUAAGUGGAACUGCGAGUGUAGAGGUGAAAUUCGUAGAUAUUCGCAAGAACACCAGUGGCGAAGGCGGCUUACUGGACCGGUUCUGACGCGUGAGGCGCGAAAGCGUGGGGAGCAAACAGG
rnacentral:rRNA from 1 species